rnacentral:rRNA from 1 species
GCCUAAAGCGUCCGUAGCCGGCUCUGUAAGUUUUCGGUUAAAUCUGUACGCUUAACGUACAGGCCGCCGGAAAUACUGCAGAACUAGGGAGUGGGAGAGGUAGACGGUACUCGGGGGGAAGUGGUAAAAUGCUUUGAUCUCUCGAUGACCACCUGUGGCGAAGGCGGUCUACCAGAACACGUCCGACGGUGAGGGAUGAAAGCUGGGGGAGCAAACCGGAUUAGAUACCCGGGUAGUCCCAGCUGUAAACUAUGCAAACUCAGUGAUGCAUUGGCUUGUGGCCAAUGCAGUGUUGCAGGGAAGCCGUUAAGUUUGCCGCCUGGGAAGUACGUACGCAAGUAUGAAACUUAAAGGAAUUGGCGGGGGAGCACCACAAGGGGUGAAGCCUGCGGUUCAAUUGGAGUCAACGCCAGAAAUCUUACCCGGAGAGACAGCAGAAUGAAGGUCAAGCUGAAGACUUUACCAGACAAGCUGAGAGGUGGUGCAUGGCCGCCGCCAGCUCGUGCCGUGAGAUGUCCUGUUAAGUCAGGUAACGAGCGAGAUCCCUGCCUCUAGUUGCCACCAUUACUCUCAGGAGUAGUGGGGCGAAUUAGCGGGACCGCCGCAGUUAAUGCGGAGGAAGGAAGGGGCCACGACAGGUCAGUAUGCCCCGAA